rnacentral:tRNA from 1 species
GCUCAGGUGGUGGAACGGUAGACACGCUGGUUUCAGGUACCAGUGGCUUGUGCCGUGUGGGUUCAAAUCCCAUCCUGAGCACCA